UACGAAGGGUGCAAGCGUUAAUCGGAAUUAUUGGGCGUAAAGAGCUCGUAGGCGGUUUGUCGCGUCUGCUGUGAAAACUCGGGGCUUAACCCCGGGCCUGCAGUGGGUACGGGCAAACUAGAGUGCGGUAGGGGAGACUGGAAUUCCUGGUGUAGCGGUGAAAUGCGCAGAUAUCAGGAGGAACACCGGUGGCGAAGGCGGGUCUCUGGGCCGUAACUGACGCUGAGGAGCGAAAGCAUGGGUAGCGAACAGG
rnacentral:rRNA from 1 species